GCCAGGAGCGGUGGUGCAUUCUUGUAAUCCCAGCAGUUUGGGAGGCUGAGACAGGAGGAUCAGGAGUUUAAAGCUAGCUUCAGCAAAAAGCGAGGCACUAAAGAACUUAAUGAGACCCUGUCUCUA
rnacentral:sRNA from 1 species